rnacentral:lncRNA from 1 species
GUAUGUUUCAUCUGAUGGAAGAUGUUGCUUUAAUUUUCACCUUCACUUCCUAGAGACCAGGACCACGAGGCCCUCCUGGACCACGAGGCCCCCCAGGACCACCUGGCAAGGAUGGCAUAGAUGGAGAGGCUGGACCACCUGGCUUGCCUGGAGUAUCAGGGCCUAAAGGAGCACCAGGGAAGCCUGGAAAGACGGGGGAUGCAGGUUUACCUGGACUUCCUGGAGUUGAUGUAAGUAUUAAAGGUUCUUCUUCCGGUUCUCACCAGUUGUGAUGC